rnacentral:rRNA from 1 species
UGCCAGCAGCCGCGGUAAUACAGAGGGUGCAAGCGUUAAUCGGAUUUACUGGGCGUAAAGGGUGCGUAGGUGGCCUUGUAAGUCCGUGGUGAAAGCCUCUCGCUUAACGAGAGAACUGCCAUGGAUACUGCAAGGCUUGAGUCCAGACGAGGUUGGCGGAAUGGAUGGUGUAGCGGUGAAAUGCAUAGAUACCAUCCAGAACCCCGAUUGCGUAGGCAGCUGACUAGGCUGGUACUGACACUGAGGCACGAAAGCGUGGGGAGCGAACAGGAUUAGAUA